rnacentral:rRNA from 1 species
UACAGAGGGUGCAAGCGGGUUUGUUUCGGAAAAUUUAUUUUGGGGGCCGGUAAAAAGAAGCUCGGUUAAAGGGGGCGGGGGUUUUGUUUCAACCGGGUUUCCGGGGACCUUUGUUUUGGGGAAAACCCCUGGGGAAAACGGGGCCCCGGUUUUACCCCGAAAACCCCUUUUCGGGGCCCUUUGGGUCCGAAAAGUUCCCCGGG